rnacentral:rRNA from 1 species
UACAGAGGGGGCAAGCGUUGUUCGGAAUUACUGGGCGUAAAGGGCGCGUAGGCGGCCACCUAAGUCAGACGUGAAAUCCCUCGGCUCAACCGGGGAACUGCGUCUGAUACUGGGCGGCUUGAAUUCGGGAGAGGGAUGCGGAAUUCCAGGUGUAGCGGUGAAAUGCGUAGAUAUCUGGAGGAACACCGGUGGCGAAGGCGGCAUCCUGGACCAACACUGACGCUGAGGAGCGAAAGCCAGGGGAGCAAACGGG